CCCUUCGUGGUCCAGUGGCUAAGACUCUGCACUCCCAAUGCAGGGGUCCAGGUUCCAGCCCUGGACAGGGA
rnacentral:tRNA from 1 species